rnacentral:rRNA from 1 species
AACGAACGCUGGCGGCAGGCCUAACACAUGCAAGUCGAACGAGGUAUUGCCUUCGGGCAGUUACUUAGUGGCGGACGGGUGCGUAACACGUGGGGACCUACCCUGUAGUGGGGGAUAACUUCUGGAAACGGGAGCUAAUACCGCAUACGCCCUUAGGGGGAAAGAUUUAUUGCUAUAGGAUGGACCCGCGGUGGAUUAGG